AACAACCCAAACUGCUAAUCUUUGAUACCGCUUUGUACUCACGAUCUUGUAUCCACUGACUGUCUUGUUAGAUUAACCCGUUAAAUUUUAUUCACUCCACAUACUCAAUCCUAUAGACACCCUUUUAAUUCUUCGUCAUAGACGUAACUCGAUUUCACAAAACAGUCAAGAGUAAUCAAACCCACUUCAUUAAAAAUCUCGAUUCACCAUUACAACACUUUGACUUCAGCAACGAUUGCCUCAGUCUUCCCAAAAUCCUAUGAAAAAAAAAAAAAAAAAAAAUCCAAUUCUCUAUCUUUUUUCCCUCUAAAGCAUGAAGCUCCCUCUUGAUCUCUCUCAAAAUCCUAUGAAGAAAAAAAACCCAAUUCUCUGUCUUUUUUCCCUCCGAAGCAUGAAGCUCUCACCUGAUCCCUCUCAAAAUCCUA
rnacentral:lncRNA from 1 species